rnacentral:rRNA from 1 species
CUAGUUGCACGGGUUUAGACCCGUGGCGAAUAGCUCAGUAACACGUGGCCAAACUACCCUGUGGAGGGGAAUAACCUCGGGAAACUGAGGCCAAUCCCCCAUAACGCUCCCUCACUGGAACAGUGGGGAGCUGGAAAUGCUUCGGCGCCACAGGAUGUGGCUGCGGCCGAUUAGGUUGACGGUGGGGUAACGGCCCACCGUGCCCGUAAUCGGUACGGGUUGUGAGAGCAAGAGCCCGGAGACGGAAUCUGAGACAAGAUUCCGGGCCCUACGGGGCGCAGCAGGCGCGAAACCUUUACACUGCACGACAGUGCGAUAGGGGGACUCCGAGUGUGAGGGCAUAUAGCCCUCGCUUUUCUGUACCGUAAGGUGGUGCAAGAAUAAGGACUGGGCAAGACCGGUGCCAGCCGCCGCGGUAAUACCGGCAGUCCAAGUGAUGGCCGAUAUUAUUGGGCCUAAAGCGUCCGUAGCUUGCUGUGUAAGUCCAUUGGGAAAUCGACCAGCUCAACUGGUCGACGUCCGGUGGAAACUACACAGCUUGGGGCCGAGAGACUCAACGGGUACGUCCGGGGUAGGAGUGAAAUCCUGUAAUCCUGGACG